UUGCGAAUUAGCUCAGCUGGUAGAGCGCCUGACUUUUAAUCAGUAUGUCGCGGGUUCAAUUCCCGUAUUCCGAU
rnacentral:tRNA from 1 species